GGCCCUGGGCCUGGAAGAGCCCCUGUUCUAGGGUUUAAACCUGGUCCUGGUCCUGGUCCUGGUCC
ensembl:miRNA